UACAGACAUGUACUACCACACUCAGCUUUACCUCUUCCCUGCAAGUUAUCCCCAUCCGGUACUGGAGCGUGAACCCAGGGAGCUUUGAGUGACAUCCCCAGCCUUUUGUUUCAGAUAUCCCACCCUUACUCUUCCUUUUGAUGCUGGGGAUUGAACUUACGGUCUUCACACUGAGCUGGGUGUGAAGUGGGUGUCAGGUAUUUUGCCCUAGUGAUGGGAAACCUGACCAUACAGAGAGUCCCAUGUUGGAACUGAAGAUCAUGUGUCACAGGGAGCAAAACAUACAGUCAUUGCAGCUGUGAUGCCUAUGCCUUGCUCUCUGGAUGGAGGCCAAUGGCAGUGCUAUGAGACAGUGCUGCAGCAGGGUCUCUUGUGUCCUAGCUGCACUUGGUGGCAGAAGAAUCUUGAUGGGAAAGGCGGGGCGAGAGCUGUCCUUGCUUCCAGGAUGGCUGUGCUCAGGGAAGCCGCAUGACCCCUUCCACACCCGUAGCUAGGGUUCUUCCAUAUCUUCAAGAGGAGCGGAGUGAGUUAAGUCUUUUACCUACACAUAGUUUCCCUCCCUUCUGAAGUUUUUAAUCUUUCUGAAGGAAACUGGAACAUCUGAAGAUUCACUGGGGACUGAGGACAGAUUUGUGUCCCUGGUGGCAGCAAGGCAGGAGGAUCAAGAAACAGAAGGACAGGAGGACAGCUGCACUGGCCGGGAAAGAUGGGAUGUGGCAGCAGGGUGCCCCCCACAGUUGGUGCUGUGACUGCAGGCCCUCGGGGCUGUCUUUACCACCUCCUCUGGCCUAAGGUCUGGAAGGUGUGCCAGGGUCACCUGAGGGCAAAGUAGCAGUUACUACCAAGAUGGUGGCUGUGCUGCUCAGCUCCCUGUGCUGUGAGGAAGCCCUGUGAAGGUCACCUACAAGGAGGAGAGGGUCACUUUGGCUCCUGUCCAUCAUCAGCUGGGGUCAUUGCUGUGGCCUGUGGUAAGGACUGACUGAAAAAAUUCUGGGAAUGUAGCUCACGGCCUUGGAUGACCUUCAUGCAUAGAAAUCUUGAGCUAAAGAAAAAUUAAAAAAGAAAUUUGAAACUUGUGAGGGAGUAAAGCAGUGUGCAAAAAGGUGAAUUUUUAUAGCUCUAAAUGCAGAGAGUAGGAAAUUAGACUAAAAACCACUGAGCCAACCUUCCAGCUUCACCAGGAAGAAGGAAAAGGAGUGAGACCCUGUCUCAAAAAAAAAAAAAAAAGAAUGAAAAUAAG